rnacentral:misc_RNA from 1 species
UACUGGCAGGAUCAACCAGGCAACAGUGAAGAACAAGUAUCCUCUUCCCUGGAUCGACGUGCUCUUCGACCAGCUUUAGGGUGCUCAGUACUCCUCGAAGGUGGACUUGAGGUCAGGAUAUCAUCAGCUUCGAAUCAGAGAGCAAGAUGUGCAAAAGACAGCGUUUCGUACCCACUACAGACACUUUGAGUUCCUUGUGAUGCCAUUCAGAUUGACGAAUGCACCAGCAAUGUUCAUGGCUUAGAUGAACAAGAUCUUCUCUCCGCACCUCAAUAGUUUCACAGUGGUCUUCAUCGACAAUGUGUCGGUAUACUCGAAGUCUAGAAAAGAGCAUGAGCAGCAUUUGAGGACAUCUUUACAUUUGUUGCGCGACAACCAGCUGUAUGCAAAGCUCAGCA